GAAGAGGAAGUGACUGUGGGAAGGAAAACUGGAAUUUUCUGGAAGUGUUGCAAGAAGAUUGGCAGGAGUCCAGCCUGGAAUCAAACCUGGGAAGAGGUUUAGAAGCUGUGGAAACACAUACAGAAGCACAACAGGGAAGACAAAGUGUGUGGGGAUGCUGAAGCUUUGAAGAGAAAUCCUGGAUCACUUUUUGAAUGAGACUAAAAGGAUCCUGCUUCUCUAAACAAGAAUAUUUGGAUUCUGCCUGGGAGAUGCACUCUGGCUUUGCAUGCUCCAUGUGUCUGCUGAGCGCACAGCUGGAUACCUGCGAAGUGCUGGGUGACCACAGACUCAUUUCCAUGUAUACUACAGCAUUCCUUCAGGAGGAGAGGCUCUUCAUAAUGGAUGCAUAAGCAUGCAAGCUUUAUUACCUGCCCCUGCCAACUCACCAGGAAAGUCUACGAUGUUAGAAAAAUACCAUCUUGAAAAAAACGGUGCCAGCACUGAAAA